CUUUCACGCCGGCCCCUGCCCUCCGCAAAAGGUCUAAACUUACAACCAAUUUUUUAUCAACUUGUCACACCAGAUUAUUACUAAUAGUCCAAACUUUCCACCACGGAUCUCCUGGUUCUCCCCUCCAUGAAAAACGCCGCGAAAUGCCAAACCGAAUAUGAAUUGCCGAAAUUCCGGAAUCCUCGAAUCUUUUAACGCCCAUUGCCCCCCCUGGUAUUCCGGAGGGCAUGCCUGGUUUAGCGGCGGUUCUCCCCCCAACCGGUGGGUUUGGUGGUGAGCAAUACCACUUGGGUUUGCUUUGAAGAAGGUAAUGGUAAAGCGGGAUCGCUUUGGCCAAGGCUUAAGGCUAACCCAAAACAUUGCUUGCCGCGGGAACGGCCACCACGGAUAUCCUCCAACUUUGACCUCCAAUCCGGGAAGACUACCCGGUGAACUUAAACAUAACAAAAC
rnacentral:rRNA from 1 species